GUACACUCCUGCGGGAGGCAGCAGUGGGGAAUUUUGGACAAUGGGCGAAAGCCUGAUCCAGCAAUGCCGCGUGCAGGAUGAAGGCCUUCGGGUUGUAAACUGCUUUUGUACGGAACGAAAAAGCUCCUUCUAAUACAGGGGGCCCAUGACGGUACCGUAAGAAUAAGCACCGGCUAACUACGUGCCAGCAGCCGCGGUAAUACGUAGGGUGCGAGCGUUAAUCGGAAUUACUGGGCGUAAAGCGUGCGCAGGCGGUUAUGUAAGACAGAUGUGAAAUCCCCGGGCUCAACCUGGGAACUGCAUUUGUGACUGCAUGGCUAGAGUACGGUAGAGGGGGAUGGAAUUCCGCGUGUAGCAGUGAAAUGCGUAGAUAUGCGGAGGAACACCGAUGGCGAAGGCAAUCCCCUGGACCUGUACUGACGCUCAUGCACGAAAGCGUGGGGAGCAAACAGGAUUAGAAACCCCAGUAGUCCCAUGAU
rnacentral:rRNA from 1 species